UUCUGUGUCUCCACCUCAGCUGCUGUUCCGCCCUUUCCCUGGCACUGUGACAUCCCUGCACGUGGAGGCAGUGUAGCAAAGGGCAGCAUUCCCAUCAUCUGCUCAGCUUUACAGUCCCUGCCCUUUACCCUCCCACAUGGGCACGGUGUGAGGAUAAUGGAGACACACAAUUCUGCCUUCUUGCUCCAGAACCCGCAGGUCUGCUAAAGCUCCCGGACCAUCAGGUGGAGUUGUGGUUACAAACCAGGACCCCCAGUUUGGAAGACUAAACAGUGAGUGGUGCCUGGACGUAAAAUCAUUUGGGACUGCACAGAAGAGGGAUAGAAGGAGAAGCCGAGAAAAAUGAGAUAAGGAACACAGAGACAAGGAUAGCAAUGUGGAUCAUUCCAGCAGCAAGAUUAAUAAUGAA